CUGAUAGAAUUAUUUGCACCAUCAUCAUCUCUGCUUGUUUGGUUCUCUUGUGUCUGCGGUGUCCACUCUAUCCCUGACCCCUUCUUUUCGCCUUGACUUGUGCUGCCUUUCCCCGCGACACGAGAAGGGUAGAGUGCACUGAGACGCACACCGCAGCCGGACUGACGACUGCACUCGCCUGCACCCUCACUCACUCCCCUCUUCGCCCACUCUCUCCACGGAGCAGACAUCCUAAGUCACGUGCCCACCUGCUCCCCGAUUCACGAGCACGUUCUCGCGAGCCCAGCAGAAGAGGGUGGUUGCGCGACGUGCACAGCCCGAGGCGACAAGAAGAAGCGAUAAAAACGUAAGACAAUAUGCCCGCUGACGAGGCGCAGGCGCCCACCCAGGCGGAGGUGUAUGAUCGCCUCAAGUGGAAUGGGUGGGGUGUCGAGGGUGUCCAGAUGCAGAUCGACAGCGAGAACCCGCUCUGGGUGCGCCACGUGGAUGGCAAGCCCAUCAAAAAUUUGCUCGAGUUCCUCUACCAGGAGGUCAGCGGCGGAGUAGGUCCAAAGGAGAUCCCGCCGCUGUCGCCGAGCAUCCCGCUCGAGCAGGCGCUUGCAAGGCUCAACAAGCCGAACAUCAACGAGGCCUUCAUGAAAGACAUCUCCGCGGUGCUGGAGAAGAGUCAAAUUCGCCCUGACGGCAAGAGCCGCCUGUGCCACAUCGUGGGCAAAAACUACCGCGACCUGUGGCGUGUGCGCAAGGGCAUGGUCGAGCACGCUCCAGACUGCAUUCUGUUGCCGAACAGCCACAAGGACUGCGCCGAGAUUAUGGGACUGGCGCACAAGCACAACGUGGUCGUUAUUCCUUUCGGUGGCGGCACCAACGUGACGGGCGGCGUCGAAGCAGACCCCUUCGAGCGUGCCCGCAUGAUCGUCUCCGUGGACAUGCGCCGCAUGAAUCGCAUGAUAUCGAUUGACCGCGAGUCGCGUCUGGCCACCUUUGAAACCGGUGUGCUUGGCCCCGACCUGGACGAGCAGUUGUUCCGCCACGGCUUCAUGCUCGGCCACGACCCCGACAGCUACAUGUACUCAACCCUCGGCGGAUGGAUUGGUGCACGUGGCAGCGGGGCCAUGUCGAACCAGUACGGCGACAUUGAAGACAUGGUGGUGGCUGUGAAGGUGGCAACGCCGACGGGCAUCAUCGAAACCCCGACCACGUCCCGCACGUGUGGCGUGGACCUGAACGGGCUCUUCAUCGGCUCCGAAGGCGCCUUCGGCAUCAUUACGGAGGCCACCAUCAAGCUGGAAACCAUCCCGGAGAAGAAGCUAUACGAAGGCUACCUGUUCCCCACUUUCGAGGCUGGUUUCAGCGCCUUCUACACGUGCACCGCCAAAGGAAUUCAUCCGUGCACGAUGCGCCUGUACGACGAGGACGAUUUUCGUAUGAGUAUGGCGAUGAGCACCACCAAACACAGCUUCCUUCAGCGCCUGGUGAGUACGGGUGUCAAGUCCUUCCUUGAGAGGUACCGCGGCUGGAGCCUGCGCCGCAUAAGCCUAGUGAUUGUUGGCUUUGAGGGAACGCCGGAUCGCGUCAAGUUCCAGCGCAGCGAGACGGCUGCAGUCUUCAAGCAGUACGGUGGCGUCGGUAUCGGCCGCGGCGCGGGUGACACGUGGCAGGAUAAGAAGUACGACCUGCCCUACAUACGCGACUUCGCCCUGUCUCUCUCGCACUGGGCGGACGUCUUCGAGACGAGUGUUCUCUAUUCGCAGGCGAUCCCGUGCUGGCGCGCAGUGAAGGCCGCUGUGCGGCAGGUGUGGAAGGAACACGGACACCGCGGCUGGAUUGGAUGUCACACGGCCCACCAGUACAAGUACGGCUGCUGCCUCUACUUCACCUUCGCGAGCGCACAAAAGGACGACAUGGACAUGAAGAUAUUCCUCGCCAUCAAGAAGCGCGCGACGGAGGCGAUGCUGGCGCACACCGGAAACCUCACUCACCACCACGGCAUCGGCUACGAGCACGUGCCGUGGAUGAGCCGCUACAUGGGGCCUAAUGCGAUAGACCUCCUCUUUGCUGUGAAGAAGAAAGUGGACCCGAAGAACAUCUGCAACCCUGGAAAGUUGCUGCCGUCGCCUCCGCGGGAGAACGAGAGCGCCGCGGCGCUGAAGGCACGCCAGCAGAGGGAGUUGAUGUUCGACAAGAUGGGUGUGCCAGGAGCCGUCGCGUCGCACCUUUAAGCCGUCGGAAGGUGAAGGCAGGGAUUUGUGUCCGUGAUGCAGGCGCCGGGCAGCUUGCUGUCACAUUCCUGUACGCGCCACUCCGUAGUUGCCUCGGGCAGACUCGGCGAUUCGCUUCUUCUUCCUUUAUUUCUAGUGCGUGCCAGGCGGAGCCAUGCGCAGCAGCAAGGCCACACAAGUGGCCGGUGUCACGUUCCACGCGGAGACUUUCUCCUUGGUCCACCACCCCCUUCUUUUCUUCCUCACGCUGCCUCGCCCGUUCCCGUUGUCGCUCUUGACGCGACGAACCUUCCCCGGUGCUUGCCAG
rnacentral:misc_RNA from 1 species